AACGAACGCUGGCGGCAUGCCUAACACACGCAAGUCGAACGAGACCUUCGGGUCUAGUGGCGCACGGGUGCGUAACGCGUGGGAACCUGCCCUUAGGUUCGGAAUAACUCCCCGAAAGGGGUGCUAAUACCGGAUAAUGUCUUCGGACCAAAGAUUUAUCGCCUUUGGAUGGGCCCGCGUUGGAUUAGCUAGUUGGUAGGGUAAAAGCCUACCAAGGCGACGAUCCAUAGCUGGUCUGAGAGGAUGAUCAGCCACACUGGGACUGAGACACGGCCCAGACUCCUACGGGAGGCAGCAGUGGGGAAUAUUGGACAAUGGGCGAAAGCCUGAUCCAGCAAUGCCGCGUGAGUGAUGAAGGCCUUAGGGUUGUAAAGCUCUUUUACCCGGGAUGAUAAUGACAGUACCGGGAGAAUAAGCGCCGGCUAACUCCGUG
rnacentral:rRNA from 1 species